GGACGCAAGUCUGAUGGAGCAACGCCGCGUGAGUGAAGAAGGGUUUCGGCUCGUAAAGCUCUGUUGUUAAAGAAGAACGUGGGUGAGAGUAACUGUUCAYCCCGUGACGGUAUUUAACCAGAAAGCCACGGCUAACUACGUGCCAGCAGCCGCGGUAAUACGUAGGUGGCAAGCGUURUCCGGAUUUAUUGGGCGUAAAGCGAGCGCAGGCGGUCUUUUAAGUCURAUGUGAAAGCCYUCGGCUCAACCGAAGAAGUKCAUUGGAAACUGGGAGACUUGAGUGCAGAAGAGGACAGUGGAAYUCCAUGUGUAGCGGUGAAAUGCGUAGAUAUAUGGAAGAACACCAGUGGCGAAGGCGGCUGUCUGGUCUGUAACUGACGCUGAGGCUCGAAAGCAUGGGKAGCGAACAGGAUUAGAUACCCUGGUAGUCCAYGCCGUAAACGAUGAUUACUAAGUGUUGGAGGGUUUCCGCCCUUCAGUGCUGCAGCUAACGCAUUAAGUAAUCCGCCUGGGGAGU
rnacentral:rRNA from 1 species